GACAAGGGGGAUACUCCCAGGAAGAAAAAGGAAUGAAAACACCCAACAAAAUAAUUUCAGCCUACAGCAAACAAAGGCCCCAAUAAACUGAAAAGCUUCAUUCCAAACCGAGAGGAAAACUGUGGUGCUGCCACCACUGCCGGCCAUGACUGCUGCACAACGGGCACCAAACUUGACCACGACGGCCCAAAAGAGCCCCAGAACCGAGAGUGAUGACCUGGACCUGCCUGCCAUGGAUAACCCUGCCAGGAACCAGGAUCCUUUGUUUGCCACGCUCAGGAAAGUAGAGAAAGAUCCCAAGGAACUGUCCCAGGGCAUCAACACUGGUAUCCAGGAGAGCUGGUAGGUUUCCUGCAACCAACGCAUGCUGUGUGGUUCUCUUCUGAAACGCCCUCUCACCUAAGUGACCAUUUCUGGUUGUGGGCAACUGCAAAUACAAACCUGGUGGGAGAAGGAGUGUGUUUAUAAUAAGAAAGGGUGGUUUGCUUAAAAUGAAGAAACAACAAAGCUGUGAGUUUGGCUGCAACCUGGGCCUAAGGUUUUAUAGCUUUUUUACAAACUUGCUCAUGACCCUUGCAGCUUUGCAAGGUAAUAAAAUAUUCCCUGGUAAUAAAAUUGGAUUACUUGGCUGUUUGCUGAUGGCUCGGGGUGCGGGCUCUAGGGCGUUGGGGUGUGUGUUAGGCCAGCCUGUGCACACUGUAGUAGCUGCCUUCUCACUGCUUGCUUUUUCCUGACAAUUCUCCUGCUUGUAGCCCUCACUGCUCUCUCAGCCACUGAGUGAGGAAACCUGCUGCUGGAUUUCUCUGUGCUUGGGAGAAGUGUAAUGGUGCAAAGCAUUGUGAGCUGCCAGGGAUCUGCAGGGGAUGACAGGAAUCCUUUCCCAGUGACUUCACUGCCCAAUGAAGACAAGACAAGAAGACCUCAAGUCUGAACAACCUUUCUGCUGGACAAAGCCAGGUGACGUGACCAAGAGCUGGACUGACCUCGUGCACUGAAUGAGACCGAAUUUACAGUGGCCCAGACUGGAAUCCAGUGUGCCUUGACUGGGUCUCCAGGAUGUAAAUAGUUCCAAGUUCUCUGUUCUUUUGAAGCCUUACAAACAGUUCUGUUUUGUUUUUAUUGUUCAAUGCAAAGAUCUGCAUAUUAUU